rnacentral:rRNA from 1 species
UACGUAGGGGGCGAGCGUUAUCCGGAAUUACUGGGCGUAAAGGGUGCGCAGGCGGCCAUUUAAGUCAGAUGUGAAAGGCUACGGCUUAACCGUAGUUAGCAUUUGAAACUAGAAGGCUUGAGUGCAGUAGAGGAGAGUGGAAUUCCUAGUGUAGCGGUGAAAUGCGUAGAUAUUAGGAGGAACACCAGUGGCGAAGGCGACUCUCUGGACUGCAACUGACGCUGAGGCACGAAAGCGUGGGUAGCGAACAGGAUUAGAUACCC